AUUGAACGCUGGCGGCAGGCUUAACACAUGCAAGUCGAGCGAGCGGCGGACGGGUGAGUAAUGUCUGGGAAACUGCCUGAUGGAGGGGGAUAACUACUGGAAACGGUAGCUAAUACCGCAUACCAUCAGAUGUGCCCAGAUGGGAUUAGCUAGUAGGUGGGGGAAUGGCUCACCUAGGCGACGAGCCCUAGCUGGUCUGAGAGGAUGACCAGCCACACUGGAACUGAGACACGGUCCAGACGCCUACGGGAGGUAGCAGUGGGGAAUAUUGCACAGGGGGCGCAAGCCUGAUGCAGCCAUGCCGCGUGUGUGAAGAAGGCAUUCGGGUUGUAAAGCUCUUUCAGCGAGGAGGCGUUACUCGCAGAAGAAGCACCGGCUAACUCCGUGCCAGCAGCCGCGGUAAUUC
rnacentral:rRNA from 1 species